rnacentral:rRNA from 1 species
UACGUAGGGUGCGAGCGUUAAUCGGAAUACUGGGCGUAAAGCGUGCGCAGGCGGUUCGUUGUGUCGGUGGUGAAAGCCCUGGGCUCAACCUGGGAAUGGCAUUGGAUACUGGCGACCUAGAGUGCGGUAGAGGGGUGUGGAAUUCCCGGUGUAGCAGUGAAAUGCGUAGAGACUCGGAAGAACACCAGUGGCGAAGGCGGCUACCUGGACGGGUACUGACGCUGCAGCGCGAAAGCUAGGGGAGCAAACAGG